UGGGGAAUAUUGCGCAAUGGGCGAAAGCUUGACGCAGCAACGCCGCGUGAGUGAUGAAGGCCUUCGGGUCGUAAAGCUCUGUCGGGAGGAACGAACACUCGUUGGGAGUAAUACCCCAGCGAUUUGACGGUACCUCCAAAGGAAGCACCGGCUAACUCCGUGCCAGCAGCCGCGGUAAUACGGAGGGUGCUAGCGUUGUUCGGAAUUACUGGGCGUAAAGCGCGUGUAGGCGGACUCGGAAGUCGGGUGUGAAAGCCCUGGGCUUAACUCAGGAAGUGCGCCCGAAACCACGAGUCUUGAGGUCCGGAGGGGAUCGGGGAAUUCCCAGUGUAGAGGUGAAAUUCGUAGAUAUUGGGAAGAACACCGGCGGCGAAGGCGCCGAUCUGGACGGAUUCUGACGCUGAGACGCGAAAGCGUGGGUAGCAAACAGG
rnacentral:rRNA from 1 species